CCUACGGGAGGCAGCAGUGAGGAAUAUUGGUCAAUGGACGAGAGUCUGAACCAGCCAAGUAGCGUGAAGGAUGAAUGCCCUAUGGGUUGUAAACUUCUUUUAUAUGGGAAUAAAAUGUUCCACGUGUGGGAUUUUGUAUGUACCAUAUGAAUAAGGAUCGGCUAACUCCGUGCCAGCAGCCGCGGUAAUACGGAGGAUCCGAGCGUUAUCCGGAUUUAUUGGGUUUAAAGGGAGCGUAGGUGGGUUGUUAAGUCAGUUGUGAAAGUUUGCGGCUCAACCGUACAAUUGCAGUUGAAACUGGCAGUCUUGAGUACAGUAGAGGUGGGCGGAAUUCGUGGUGUAGCGGUGAAAUGCGUAGAUAUCACGAAGAACUCCGAUGGCGAAGGCAGCUCGCUGGACUGCAACUGACACUGAGGCUCGAAAGUGUGGGUAUCAAACAGGAGUAGAUACCCGGGUAGUC
rnacentral:rRNA from 1 species